CAAUAUAUGAGUCGUUUUUUUUUUUUGUCGCAAGAACCGUGGAGGCAAGCUCCCCGGUCAACGAAACUCGCUUGAUUUUCUUCAACAUUCGGCACCCGUUUUCAUGUCUAAGCUGCCGGACGCAAAGUGACACCUCCACUCUUGGGCCAUGGAUGUACACUGUUUUGGCGUAGAACCAAUCACCUGCCACGCAUGGAACAAGGAUCAUACAGAGGUGGCACUGUGUCCCAACAAUGCGGAUGUGCAACUCUACAAGCGAGAGGCGGGUGGAGGAUGGUCACGGGGGCAGACGCUCAGCCGGCACGACCUGCGAGUGACCAGCAUCGACUGGGCGCCACACAGUAACCGCAUUGUGACGUGUGCUGCAGAUCGCAAUGCGUACGUCUGGACCCUGGGCUCAGAGGAGCCUGGCACCAAUGCCACGGUGUGGACCCCCACCUUGGUGCUGCUGCGAAUCAACCGUGCUGCCACCUGUGUUCGGUGGUCGCCCCUUGAGAACAAGUUUGCAGUGGGGUCAGGUGCCAAGCUGGUGUCAGUGUGCUACUUUGAGGAGGACCACAACUGGUGGGUGAGCAAGCACAUCAAGAAGCCCAUCAAGUCAACUGUCACCUCGGUCGACUGGCACCCCAACAACUGCCUGCUUGCCUGUGGCUCCACCGACUUCCGCACCAGGGUGUUCUCUGCGUAUAUCAAGGAGGUGGACAGUACUCCUCAGGCGACACCCUGGAACGACAAGACCACCUCGUUUGGCAGUCUAGUGGCUGAACUUUCUGCCAGUGGCAUUGGCUGGGUUCACUCAGUGUGCUUCUCGGGCGAUGGCACUCGGCUGGCCUGGGUUGGCCACGACUCCAGCGUGUGCGUCGCGGACGCCCAGCGGGGGCAGGCCAUCACUUGCGUGCGCACCCAAUACCUGCCAUUCCUCUCCUGUCUCUGGGUCUCCCCCACGAGGCUGCUGCUGGCCGGUUACGACUGCUACCCCAUGGUGUACGAGUACAGCAAUGGCCAGCUAAGCUUUGUUGACAAACUGGACAAAUCACAGCGCAAGGAGGUGGAUGGCGUCAGCGUUAAUGUGGUAACCUCCGGAAGCAGCCAGCACAGCUCGGCAGAUGAUGACCCCGAAGUUAUCAGCCCAGCUGCGUAUUGCCAUGCGCAAGUUCCUCAACAUGGACAAGCAUGCGAUGGAGAGCAGAGGUGACACCCUGCUGGAUACGGCGCACCAGAAUGCCAUCACCCUGGUGACUUUGGUGCAGGGUGAGCGGGACAAUGCGACACGUGUCUGCACCCAGGGCAUGGAUGGCAGACUCAUCCUGUGGGACAUUAAGACUCUGCAGUCCUCCAUGGAAAGCAUGCGCAUUGUCUGACCUCCGGCCAUCGCAGUAGCUGACCAAGAAUGUGGCCGGAAUGGGCCACUCUACCGGUCUAAUGUUGGCAAAGGACAGGAAGUGUGCGUGUGACCCUGCCGGAAAGGCAGAGGACAGACAGCAACACCCUUGUGGUCCACGACAGUGAGGCAGUGUCUUCCAUGCGGACGACGAGCCAAACCAGACAGCUUCCAUGCAGACACACUGCUGCCCAAGGCACCUGCAUCAAGGGAGGGCUGUGUUGAUUUCGUUUAAGUCGAUAACUUAAUGAGGACAUUGUUUACUGAAUCGAUCAUUUGUUUUGUUGGGGACUGUUGCCUGUGAGAGUGUUUUUUUUUUUUCCAUCCCUUUUUUACUCUUUUUUUCUUUUUCCCCGACUGUGGUAUGUCUUCAAUGCUCUGUAAUCUGUUUUCUUCACCAUCUUCUUGGUAUAUGCAAGAUCAUUUGUGGGAAUUGUGUGAAGGACACACUCCUCCAAUUUUAUGGAAACUCUUUUUGCAGUUUCAGACAUCUGCAUUCAGCCAGUACUGUUCCUCCUCUUUGGUGAUGCUAUUUGUGAUGUUGAAUAAAGAAGUAAGUGCUACAUGCAAAAAAACAAUUGCAUGUUGUUUUAACAAAAGAAAAAGCCUUAAGAUAUGGUCUACAGGCUCACAACUGAGCACCGUUAGUGCUGGCAAAAAUAUUUUGUAGAACUGUUAUAGCCAGGCUAUUCUCUACUUGUGUGUCAUAGAACAUAAGAUCCACGCUUCCAGAAUGGAUUCCUAAGUCUGCAUUCCAGAGUACUCUUAUCCAAAUUUCAUAGCAAAAAGUGUUUUAUUCAUAGCAAAAAUCCUCACAGGCAUCUAAUGCUGGAAACAACGUUUACACUUAUGUGGUUACUGAAACAAGAUUUGCUUCAUUUUCGCUACAGCUUUGAAGAAAAGUUUGCAUUUGAUGCCUUGCUGGGCCCACUUUAAUCCUUUAACCUCCAAAUUUAUUCUAGAGAAAUGAACCAAAUUUCCCAAACUUUCUAAUGUUGUCAUACAUUUUUCUACGUCAUUCUGAAAAUGUAUUGAUUGAUUGGUUUCUGGUCAGAAUUAACUCAAAAAGAAAGGAAAUGCUGCUCUUGAGGGCAUCUUUCCCUCAAAGCCACCCUUAACUUGUCUUUGGCAGUGGGAGCAGCACAGCAUCGCGCUGAAUGAAUGUGAGCCGUCAUUAGCGAUGUUGGUACAACCUCCCGUGACGAGUACAGCUCGGGAUUGGGGAUUAAAGGGUUAAUGAGUUCUAUGGAAGCACUAAAGACAGUGCACUUUACAAAAAAAAAAAAAAAUGUUUCAUGUCUGUCUCAUGCCAUAAUUAGACACUCUUUUAACCUGCAGAAGCAACAUAGCGUUUCUUGAACCUCCAGCUGAGCCAUAUGUUGCAGAGCAAGGCAAGACUGUGUUGUGAAAGGGAUAAGUUCAUCCCGGUGGACGAGCUUGCUGAUGAAUCUGUGACAUCACAGGAAAUUCAUAGGCUUCCUUCCAACAAAAAGCAUUCGUACGUAGAAUGAAGGAGAUGAAGGAUCAGACAAAAUAGACAAAUUGCUGUUAGAAAGUCUGGGAAAUGCCAUUCCUGAACAGCUGCAUCAGGAAUUCCUGUGCCAAGAUUGAUUAGGAAAAGAGCGAUGUACUGGCCGAAAGCCACUGCCUGCCAAUUUUUGUGUGGCUGCCUUUAAAAAGAACUGCACCUCAGUUGUCCGACGCAAUGUAUUGUCUUGCCUUCAAUUCACGUCUGCUACCUGCCAGCACCGCAAAGUAAAAUGGCACCCUGAGCAGAGGUAAUGCCGCAAUAUUAUUUUUUUCCUUUUUCUUAUUUGCCAGUGGUUUAAGUGACACUCCACCUGUGUUAUCACUACAAUGAGCUGGUUGUGAGCAGUGAGUGAUAAGAAAGGAAUAGAACUGCAUAAAAGGAAUCCUUACAUAAUAUUGGCCCCGAUUUAGUGGACUUUCAUUAGGGGUGAAUGUAGAUUGGUUGCCACAACUUGUUGAUAUCACGACAUGAUGCACCAUCGGCUCUAUAAAUUGACAACUGGCACCAUUGUGUGAAUCCACGAUUAUGCAAUAGGUGGAGAGCACAUACCUGUUGUAAAUUGACCAGUGCAAAAUGUAUCUGGGAGUAUGAAACAAAAGAGCUUGCAUUA
rnacentral:misc_RNA from 1 species